rnacentral:rRNA from 1 species
CCCUUAGAUGUUCUGGGCCGCACGCGCGCUACACUGAUGCAUUCAACAAGCCUAGCCUUGACCGAGAGGUCCGGGUAAUCUUUGAAACUGCAUCGUGAUGGGGCUAGAUUAUUGCAAUUAUUAAUCUUCAACGAGGAAUGCCUAGUAAGCGUGAUUCAUCAAAUCGCGUUGAUUACGUCCCUGCCCUUUGUACACACCGCCCGUCGCUCCUACCGAUUGAAUGUGCUGGUGAGGAGCUCGGAUUGGCAGCAGUUGGUGGUUCGCCACCGGCUAUUGCUGAGAAGUCCUCCAAACCGCCCCAUUUAGAGGAAGGAGAAGUCGUAACA